rnacentral:lncRNA from 1 species
AGCAAUGGUCUAUUGAAGAGGUACAACUGAAAAUGGCCCUUGAAAGAGGGGUAGAGUACAAAGGUGUGGAAGCUUAACAUAGGUAUGGAGGAUUAGAGAAGAGUCAGAUUAAAAUCUUUAAGAGUAAGGUUUCUAUGGGAUGUCAAAUGUACUGAGGACUUCAGAUUUUAUGCAGAGGAAGCUGCAACAGUGAAAUUAUAAUGAUCUGUCCACGAAGGCUGCUCACCCACAGGGUGAGAAACAGCAAUGGUCCUAAGCUAACAUGAGAGAUUUCAAGCUUUCACAAUGAUGAUGGGAGUGAUGCACUCAGUAAGAGCAUGUUUCACCAAGGACGAUGGCUAUGCAUCUUCAAAGGCUGAGGGGAACAAGCAUUCUCUAAUUCCCAUGGAGACCUGGAAGAGUUCCUCAUUGUGGAGUCAGGCAAGCCCAUUUCUUAGCUGGAUGGGUGAAGUGUUCCCUCAGUUCACAUAGACCAGGCUUCCUCUUUAGAGGCAUAAGCUGUAAAACAGGAGAGUCUGUUUUAAGAGGAUCUGUUUGAAGUUUAAUGUAACUGAAGUCCAUGCACCUGAAGCCAUUAAUUGAUAUAAGUGAGUAAGUCUUAUGGGUUUCCGGUAGCUCUGACUCAGAUUCUGCUUGCCUCUUCUCCAUGAGAUUACCAAGUCAUCAGGGCAGAGACUCCCUGAGCUAUGCUAGAAGGGUACCAUUUGAAAAGGAAGUGUAUGACCCACCGUGAAAUGGAACUGGUAGCUGGUCACCCAGGUGCUCUUCCUUGUUAACUGAUGAGAGCGAUUAUUAUGUGAGAACUUUAACAACCUGCCAAAGGAUUCCGGGGCAAGAAUGAGAGCUGAACCAUUGAAAAGCUGAGCAUUGAAGUGCCUGGGAAGCCCAAAACUCAGCACAUUCAUGCUUUUGCUGGUUUUUGACCAUUGAGAAGAAAAAAGAGUCAGCAACCAGGGAGCAGGUCUGGCGAGAUCUGCCUUCCCACGAUGUUGUGAGUGGUUGUGUAGAAGAAGAUGGUUUCUUUUCCCAAAGAGUUCUCCUUCGACCUGGCUAGGAGUGUAUUUUUUACUUUGUAUGGAAAUUCU